rnacentral:lncRNA from 11 species
CUCCAUCAUAUCCCCUUGGAACAUUUAUUUUAUCACUGAAUUUUAUUUUCUUGCUGGGCUGAAAGAUGUGAUGAAAAGAUUUCCUAUUUCUAACACCCUGUGGACAUAGCAUUGUCACACAACUGUCUAGGGCUGUGCAUCAGCAUCAAACGGGUGUCUAUUCAAGGACUGCUGGAGCCACCCCCCUCCUUCUGCAAAUGACCAUUGACAAAUCCCCCCUGCUUCGACAGACCAAGAUGCUUCUCCAUCUGUCUUUUCCAAAUGUCCCUGGGCAGGGGUCCCUUGAACGUCUGAGGACUGUAUUCCUGGCUGCCCAACAGCAGGUGCUGAGCUACCCUAGCACCCCGCUCUCUGUUCAAGUGAGCUCCUGCCAGUAUGCAAGAUUCUCAUCCCUGGCCUAUAUCCUCAGAAAGUGAGAAAAUGGCUGCUUCAGGUGACCCAGGAAGUCUCAUGGACAUGAGCGUGGAUCUCCCAAGUUCUAGCCCACCAACUCGAACUACGAUGUCACGUUAGAAAAUGACUAUGAAUCAAUUCAUAUCUGAAUUGUUCCUCUACUAAG